CGUGUCGGUUGUGUGGUAGAGGUUUGGUGGAAUUGGGAUUCUGAGGUAGUUUGAUGUGGAUUAAGGGGUCAGUUUUGGUGGGAUUUAGGUGUUAGUGUGGUAGUUGGGAUAUUAUUUUAUUUUAUUUAUUUUCUCCAAAAAGUUUUCCCUUUUUAAUGUUUUCUUCUGUCGUCUCUGUUAUUUUUUUCUUUAUUUUCCUUCUGCUUCCAUUGAUUUUAAUCACGAAUUCUCGCUCUUCGUUACAUUUUGGUAUUCUCGAUUCCUUCGUGUGGCUUCGUAGGUAAGGAU
rnacentral:lncRNA from 1 species